AUGUACGAGAUGUUUGGCCAGGCUUUGUAUCGCUCUGGUAGGUAUGAUGUUGAGGAAGUUGAGCGGGGCAUCACCUACCACGUGCGACAUGUUGAAGCUGAGAAGCGAGAGAAGUGGUGCCGUGAAAUGCAUGUGGUCAGUGUCCAUGAUGGCUGUGCUAGGUACACAUGCGAAUGUGGGCUCUUCGAGCACAUGGGGAUGCUUUGUUGCCAUGCUAUCAAGGUUUUAAUUCAUUUGGGAGUGAGAAAAAUACCCAGAUUCCAUGUCAUGAAAAGGUGGACAGUAGAUGCCCGCGACAAUUCACCACUUCACCUUCUCCAUUACCAAAAGGAUCAAGGGCCUCCGCGGUUAUCCUCCUACAGGCAUACAGCACUACACCUGACCGUGCUCGAGUUUGUCCAGCUUGGUGAUAGCAAUGUCGAUGCCUUUGAUAGAGCAAUGGACAUCUUGAUUGCAGGCAAGGCAGAGCUGACUGUUUUGGCGGCGGUCAAGGAUGGCAAAAGUUUGGUGGACCAAACUCAAAUUGGGGAAUCAGCCAAUCCCACUCAGAGGAUGGGCACAAGUUCUUCGCACCCAGACGACAUGUGUUCUCAGAUGUUCAUCUCCACCGAGUGUGGGCUUAGUUCAGUUUCUGGUGAAGCUGGCUCCAGUAUGUCACUGUCGACGUUGCUGCCGUCUGAUAGGAAGAAGCAGAAGGGUAGGCCAACCACAGCGAGGGACAAACCUGGAUAUGAGGUCAAGGACGCGCGGUCGAGGUUUUGUACGGUUUGUAGGGAGAAAGGGCACCCCGCAGGGGUGAUCUUCCGAAGAAACCUCGCAAAAUCCCUACCUGCGGCAAUUGCGGUGUAG
rnacentral:rRNA from 1 species